rnacentral:rRNA from 1 species
GGAACCCUGAUGCAGCCAUGCCGCGGUGUGAAGAAGCCUUCGGGUUGUAAAGCACUUUCAGUAGGGAGGAAGGUAGGGUAGUUAACACCUGCAUUAUUUGACGUUACCUACAGAAGAAGCACCGGCUAACUCCGUGCCAGCAGCCGCGGUAAUACGGAGGGUGCGAGCGUUAAUCGGAAUUACUGGGCGUAAAGCGCAUGCAGGCGGCCUGUUAAGUCAGAUGUGAAAGCCCGGGGCUUAACCUCGGAAUUGCAUUUGAAACUGGCAGGCUAGAGUCUUGUAGAGGGGGGUAGAAUUUCAGGUGUAGCGGUGAAAUGCGUAGAGAUCUGAAGGAAUACCAGUGGCGAAGGCGGCCCCCUGGACAAAGACUGACGCUCAGAUGCGAAAGCGUGGGGAGCAAACAGGAUUAGAUACCCUGGUAGUCCACGCCGUAAACGAUGUCUACUUGGAGGUUGUGGCCUUGAGCCGUGGCUUUCGGAGCUAACGCGUUAAGUAGACCGCCUAGGGAGUACGGUCGCAAGAUUAAAACUCAAAUGAAUUGACGGGGGCCCGCACAAGCGGUGGAGCAUGUGGUUUAAUUCGAUGCAACGCGAAGAACCUUACCUACUCUUGACAUCCAGAGAAGCUUGAAGAGAUUCGAGUGUGCCUUCGGGAACUCUGAGACAGGUGCUGCAUGGCUGUCGUCAGCUCGUGUUGUGAAAUGUUGGGUUAAGUCCCGCAACGAGCGCAACCCUUAUCCUUGUUUGCCAGCACUUCGGGUGGGAACUCCAGGGAGACUGCCGGUGAUAAACCGGAGGAAGGUGGGGACGACGUCAAGUCAUCAUGGCCCUUACGAGUAGGGCUACACACGUGCUACAAUGGCAUAUACAGAGGGCAGCAAGACCGCGAGGUGGAGCGAAUCCCAGAAAGUAUGUCGUAGUCCGGAUCGGAGUCUGCAACUCGACUCCGUGAAGUCGGAAUCGCUAGUAAUCGUGGAUCAGAAUGCCACGGUGAAUACGUUCCCGGGCCUUGUACACACCGCCCGUCACACCAUGGGAGUGGGCUGCACCAGAAGUAGAUAGCUUAACCUUCGGGAGGGCGUUUACCACGGUGUGGUUCAUGACUGGGGUGAAGUCGUAACAAGGUAACCG